rnacentral:rRNA from 1 species
UGGGGAAUAUUGCACAAUGGGCGCAAGCCUGAUGCAGCCAUGCCGCGUGUGUGAAGAAGGCCUUCGGGUUGUAAAGCACUUUCAGCGGGGAGGAAGGCGUUAAGGUUAAUAACCUUGGCGAUUGACGUUACCCGCAGAAGAAGCACCGGCUAACUCCGUGCCAGCAGCCGCGGUAAUACGGAGGGUGCAAGCGUUAAUCGGAAUUACUGGGCGUAAAGCGCACGCAGGCGGUCUGUCAAGUCGGAUGUGAAAUCCCCGGGCUUAACCUGGGAACUGCAUUCGAAACUGGCAGGCUAGAGUCUUGUAGAGGGGGGUGGAAUUCCAGGUGUAGCGGUGAAAUGCGUAGAGAUCUGGAGGAAUACCGGUGGCGAAGGCGGCCCCCUGGACAAAGACUGACGCUCAGGUGCGAAAGCGUGGGGAGCAAACAGG